rnacentral:lncRNA from 1 species
CGACCUACAUAUUAAAAAUAAAAUUAAAAAAAAGGCAAAAUGGUUCGAUGGAUCCUUAUACUAUGUCCGUUUUGUAAGUUGGGCACUUCUACUUACAUAUAUGUCAUCUAGACCCCUGAACCCACUAAAAGCAACAUUUUAAACAUAUUUUCUAAUGUGGCAUUCUAUGUGGCUGGGACCACAUAAGAACGUGUGUUUUAGUCUCCAACUGCGCGUCAGCCAUUGAAAAAGGUCCC